UACGUAGGGUCCGAGCGUUGUCCGGAAUUACUGGGCGUAAAGGGCGCGUAGGCGGCCUGUCGCGUCGGAUGUGAAAAUCCAAGGCUCAACCUUGGACCUGCAUUCGAUACGGGCAGGCUAGAGUUCGGUAGGGGAGACUGGAAUUCCUGGUGUAGCGGUGAAAUGCGCAGAUAUCAGGAGGAACACCGGUGGCGAAGGCGGGUCUCUGGGCCGAUACUGACGCUGAGGAGCGAAAGCGUGGGGAGCGAACAGG
rnacentral:rRNA from 1 species